rnacentral:lncRNA from 1 species
CAACUCAUCAGUUAUCAUCUUCACCGUUCUGAGGUACUCAAAAGGGUCAUCACCUGAUUCAAACUUGGGGGCAUCCAACUUUAGGUAGUCUGUCAUCUUUACUUUACCCCCAACUAAUGAACCAGGUUUGGGUAUCUGGACAUCAGGGACUAUCGGCUCUGCUGGUGGAGGAGGAGGUGCAGCAUUCCCUGGAUUAGGGUUUGCUGGACCUGGGUAGAAGGAUGAGGGUGGAAACAUGGGGUACUGUGGGUAAGGUGG